UCACGAGACAAUGCUAUCUACGCGAUCGAAGUAGGAGAACAUUUACAGAUGAGUGACGCCAAGAAGCGAUAUCACUCGCUUGGUUGUUCGUCUUACUCUCAGGGCUGGCAAACUUAGAAACAGGUAUCUACGGGUUUUGUUUGUUAAAACAAGUAGCAUUCCAAUAUGGAUCUAACUAACAGAGAAAAGAAAAGCUUUGAAAAUCAAGACCCUGUCAAUGAAUAUAUCAAACAGAAUUCUUUUCGACUGUCUCCUGCUCAAAAGAAACUAUAUGAACUUACUCUGACACAUCCAAAAUAUCACAUGAUGGGAGCACCAGAAAUUCUCCAGCUUUUACAGAAUUUGAUACGUGCCAU